UUUUUUUUUUUCCAAAUUUUAUGUGCAUAAUGUUUUUUAGGCCAUCGUUUGGUUCGGAGUUAAGAAAAAAUAGCUAUUCCAGAAAUAUGAAUAAGUUCAGAGUUAAAAUGGUGUUAAAAUUUUUUUGUGUUUGGUUGGAGGUUGGAGUUAGUCUAGGAUAGUGAAAAAAAGUGUUUGGUUGGAGUAGAUGGGAUAAGAAGAUAAUGAUUGAUAAAGAAGAAAAAGGUGAGGGAUCGGAAUGCGUGCGGGGUUAAAGUUGGGAGGGGAGUGGGGUUAAUGAUUGAUAAAGAAGAAAAAGGUGAGGGCUCGAAAUGUGUGCGGGGUUAAAAUUGGGAGGGGGAGUGGGGUUAGUAAACCCCACUAACCUGGUUUGGGGUGGGG
rnacentral:lncRNA from 1 species